rnacentral:rRNA from 1 species
GAUGAACGCUGGCGGCGUGCCUAAUACAUGCAAGUCGAGCGAACAGACGAGGAGCUUGCUCCUCUGACGUUAGCGGCGGACGGGUGAGUAACACGUGGAUAACCUACCUAUAAGACUGGGAUAACUUCGGGAAACCGGAGCUAAUACCGGAUAAUAUAUUGAACCGCAUGGUUCAAUAGUGAAAGACGGUUUUGCUGUCACUUAUAGAUGGAUCCGCGCCGCAUUAGCUAGUUGGUAAGGUAACGGCUUACCAAGGCAACGAUGCGUAGCCGACCUGAGAGGGUGAUCGGCCACACUGGAACUGAGACACGGUCCAGACUCCUACGGGAGGCAGCAGUAGGGAAUCUUCCGCAAUGAGCGAAAGCCUGACGGAGCAACGCCGCGUGAGUGAUGAAGGUCUUCGGAUCGUAAAACUCUGUUAUUAGAGAAGAACAAAUGUGUAAGUAACUAUGCACAUCUUGACGGUAACUAUUCAGAAAGCCACGGCUAACUACGUG